rnacentral:rRNA from 1 species
GACGAACGCUGGCGGCGUGCCUAAUACAUGCAAGUUGAGCGAUGAAGAUUGGUGCUUGCACCAAUUUGAAGAGCAGCGAACGGGUGAGUAACGCGUGGGGAAUCUGCCUUUGAGCGGGGGACAACAUUGGGAAACGAAUGCUAAUACCGCAUAAUAACUUUAAACAUAAGUUUUAAGUUUGAAAGAUGCAAUUGCAUCACUCAAAGAUGAUCCCGCUUUGUAUUAGCUAGUUGGUGAGGUAAAGGCUCACCAAGGCGAUGAUACAUAACCGACCUGAGAGGGGGAUCGGCCCCAUUGGGACUGAGACACGGCCCAAACUCCUACGGGAGGCAGCAGUAGGGAAUCUUCGGCAAUGGACGAAAGUCUGACCGAGCAACGCCGCGUGAGUGAAGAAGGGUUUCGGAUCGUAAAACUCUGUUGGUAGAGAAGAAAGUUGGUGAGAGUGGAAAGCUCAUCAAGUGACGGUAACUACCCAGAAAGGGACGGCUAACUACGUG